GUAAAGGGUGCGUAGGCGGCUUUGCAAGUCAGAUGUGAAAUCUAUGGGCUCAACCCAUAAACUGCAUUUGAAACUGUAGAGCUUGAGUGAAGUAGAGGCAGGCGGAAUUCCCCGUGUAGCGGUGAAAUGCGUAGAGAUGGGGAGGAACACCAGUGGCGAAGGCGGCCUGCUGGGCUUUAACUGACGCUGAGGCACGAAAGCGUGGGUAGCAAACAGGAUUAGAUACCCUGGUAGUCCACGCUGUAAACGAUGAUUACUAGGUGUGGGGGGUCUGACCCCUUC
rnacentral:rRNA from 1 species